CACUACCGCCAUGCUACCCUGAACAAGCCUGAUUCCGUCUGAUCUCGGAAGCUAAGUUGAGUCAGGCCUGGUUAGUACUUGGAUGGGAGACCACCUAGGAAGACCAGGUGCUGUAGGUG
rnacentral:rRNA from 1 species